rfam:Oryza nivara chromosome 5, whole genome shotgun sequence.
AAACAAACAAACCCUGAAUUUCCGUGUCCAACGUUUGACCGUCCGUCUUAUAUGAAUUUUUUUAUAAUUAGUAUUUUCAUUGUUGUUAGAUGAUAAAACAUGAUUAAUACUUUAUGCGUGACUUAUCUUUUUAAUUUUUUCAUAAUUUUUUUAAAUAAGAUGGACAGAUAAACAUUAGACACGAAAACUAAGGAUUUGUCUUUUU